rnacentral:lncRNA from 1 species
UCAUAACAACAAUAACAUCUCACAAUUUUCCAAGUGCUCCUUCGGCUCUGUCUUUUUCCUCCCACCUGAGGCCCCCAGGGUGGGUGUAGACAUUCAUCUCUGCUUCAUUUGAUCCACCUCUGCUUGGCCACUGCUGGACUUUUUCUCAGGCAAAGGAGAACCCCCAGGAGAGUGGAUAAACUGGACCAAGGAGCUGCAGAGCUUUGCUGUUCUAAGAGAAGUCAAGGUGAAGGGUUUAGUGCCUCUGAAGCUGGGGCAAGAAAACAAUCGGCUUCUCCAACGGUCAGUAAAGAAUACAAGGGCACAGUUAAAACAGAGCCACUGAAGUGAACAACCUUCAUGUGACCAACAGGAGAAACACCCC